UAAAAGUCACUUCCUAUAAAACAGAAGCUCAGAAUAUAUAAGCAAUAAAUGAACAGCGACAAUCUUAUCCAUUGCAAUGGUCCACCUGGAGGGAUAUUAUGUAACUCUUGCACAAAGUCCACAAAGUUGACAGAACACUGACAGCUACUCCAUUUUUACUUUGUGGCUCAACCCCAAAGUGCUGCCAGGAGGGGACGAUUCAAGCAUCUGCCGACCAGUUUCUGGAGCCGUGGGUAGACAGGGGCGAGAGGAAACACACACAGGUUUUUAAAGUGCCAUGGCUCAUGCAACUGCAGGGGGUCGCGUGGACCCCAGGCCGGCCUGCGGUCCCUCAGGCACAGAGCUCACAGCCGGGAGUCUCGGCCAACCCCGUUAUCCCCGGACCCACGGUGAGCGUGGAUUCUAGAAUUCCACACCUUCUAAGAGCGUCAUGCUGUUGGAGGAGAGCGCGACCCUCGGUUCCGUCCUUGAAGGCAUAGUGCUUAUUAGGCCUGGAAAGCGUUGCUGUGCUGUGAACCCAUCUGAGGUUAAAACCUACCCGAGUGUUUGGUUCCUCCCAGGAGCGCCUAAGAUGAACGAGAAUUCCCUUCUGUGCUCUUGGAGUGGUUCGCCAGGAGCAUUUCUCUGCUUUAUAAUUUUAAAAAAGGAAGCAUAUUAUUGUUAUAAUUUCUGCUAUAGGACAAAACGGGAGAUAAAGCAACUUUAACAAGGAUACAAACCAAAAUAACAGCUGAAGAAUAGUAUCUGUUACCUGGUCGACAGGGUAAACAGACGAGUCACACCCUAGGCUCCUCCCAUCUCCUGCCAAACCUCUCAAUCAUAGAAGUAAUUUAAAGUCAGCAUUUUAAAACGCCAGACGUCUUAAAGCUGUCGGGUGCCAUGCACUAGGCUUGCAGAAGGAAGAAACAGGGCUAAAUGCCACAAAGCUAAUUUAAACAUUAAGUGUCCUCAAAGCCCCCACCCUGUAGAAGUUCUGCCCUGCAGAUGGUGGCUGAUGUAAAUCACAGCUAACAUACAAAGAUGAAAAUGCCUGGGAAAUGGACAGUAGCAGGUAAGGUAAUAUUUUAGCACAUUUAUUAUCAGCAUUUGCUAAUUUUAUGGAGAUGGACCGAGCCAUUUUUAAAUGCUAUUUCAGACCCAUCUCAGAGCACACUGUGAAGAUACUAGAGCCUGAACCAGCUGAAGAGGAUGCUUCCUCUCGGUGACUUACAUCUCUGCUGCUAGGGCCUUCCAGCAGCUUAUUCAAGUCUCCUGCCCAGUUUUAAUAGUCACGGUGGAUAGAGGUAGAAAGACCGAGUAAGUCAGUUCUAGGUCACCACACAAGACCCGGAUGCUCGUGUGUCUGGUCGAGCAGAACACAAACAAGAGGGAAAUGGCACCGGCGUGUAUGGGUUCAACAGUGGAGUCGAUUUGCAGAUCCUAUUGUGGUUUCUAACACUAAUAAAAUCCUGUGUGACUCACACAAGUCCCUGAGCUUCUGUAUAACCAUCUAGAA